GAUGAACGCUAGCGGCAGGCCUAAUACAUGCAAGUCGAACGGUAACAUGACAGCAAUGUUGAUGACGAGUGGCGCACGGGUGCGUAACGCGUAUGCAAUCUACCCUUUACUGGGGAAUAGCCCGGAGAAAUUCGGAUUAACACCGCAUAAUAUGUUGAGUAGGCAUCUAUUUAACAUUAAAUCUACGGAGGUAAAGGAUGAGCAUGCGUCUGAUUAGAGUUGGUGAGGUAACGGCUCACCAAGACGAUGAUCAGUCGGGGUUCUGAGAGGAAGGUCCCCCANACUGGUACUGAGAUACGGACCAGACUCCUACGGGAGGCAGCAGUAGGGAAUAUUGGGCAAUGGGCGAGAGCCUGACCCAGCCAUGCCGCGUGAAGGAUGAAGGCUUUUCUGAGUUGUAAACUUCUUUUGAUCGGGAACAAAGAGACCUUGCGAGGUAAGAUGAGUGUACCGAUAGAAUAAGCACCGGCUAACUCCGUGCCAG
rnacentral:rRNA from 1 species